AAGCACUUUAAUGGCAACUUGAGUUGUCAUGUAAUAAGGCCUUACAUUCUCAUCUAUAACUCCUUUAUAAACAAUACCAAACCCACCGUCACCAAGAACCUGAUUAGGUCGGAAGUUCUUGGUAGCUGAUUUCAUCUCCUCAUAGGUAAAGAUAUCAAGAUCACUAUUACCAGAAUUUUGGCGUAGAUCCUGCACAUUUUUGGAAAAUAUUACAACAGGGUUUGCAUUCUUUUGUUUCUCUGGAGUAUCUAGCUCAUUCAAAAGGACAGAGUCUGCUUUGGUGGGAGAUACAGGAGUUCCAUGCACCGCUGCAAAUAUUCACAGAAGAAGUUACCACUAUUUUUAUUUAGGUAAACUGAACUAGCUCUGCCGUCUACGUACCUAUGCCAAACCAUGAACUAAAGCAAUAUUCCAACAGAAGGCACAAUCUAAUCUAAUUGAAAAAGAAAAUUGCAAUUGAAGAUGGUGCAAUAUAAUUUUUUCUGGCUAAUAAGCAAAAGGAUCACUCCUCUUUCUACACAAUAUAUGUAUUUAUGUACAAGUACAGUUUACUUUGUAACCAAAUGUCAAGCAAACUGUAGAUAAAAUUAAGAUCAAAUGAAAGUCAACUCUCAUUUCAUUAGUUGUGUCAAUUUCCUAAUGAGCAAUCUAACAAUGCUAUUAAAUACACCUAUAAUUUCAUAAUCAAAAUUCUUAGCCUUGUCGAAUACACACACUAUCAUUGUUGUUGUUUUUUUAUUAUUUGUCAGAAUCUACUAACUCACAAGACUUAUUCCAUGAGCACAUAUUAAUCUCAAACCCCAAUUGAAAAAACUACCCAAAUGAACAUUCCCUUUUCUGCACGAUGAAAAAACAAGAAUGUAAACAUUAAAAACUACAAACAUUAAUUUUGUGGGUACUUGUUAAUGUAUAAUAAAUCUACCUGAUCUGCUACUACAAGAUUUGUUCUUUGGUUGCUGAUUGUCUUCUUCUUCAAUGCUGACACAAGAACCCAUUUUUCUUCACUUCACAAAAUGAAAAUUUCAACUCCAAUUUCUGCAAUGGGUGGUCACUUUAUUUCAUUCAUCAAUCAAAACUUUCUACACACCUAGUUAUCUCGAAAUCUCAAAAGGUGGGCCGAAAUCGUGAUGGUCCCACCGAAAUUUGAUAUCUUCGCCGCGAUAUUCACAAAGUAUGAAUGGAUAGUACCAAGAAAAGAGUGGGAGAAGAUGAUUGACAAGGGUGAGCAACGUGUUUAUUUUCCCUUCUUAAAUAUGGAUUAUUUGUCAAUUCGUUUAGCUGUCAAGAACAUUCCAAAAGCAGACAAAGAUUGACUUCCUUGGCGCCCCGGCCUAAGUAAACCGUGCAAUUUACAAUAAUGUCCUUAUCAUUUCCCUACAAUAUAAAAAAGGAAAUGUAAAGAUACUCUAGUUAGGGAUAGUGAAUUUUUUCAUUUUAUUAAGCAAUUUUUUUAUUUUAUUUUUAAGAGCAAAAACAAUGUCGUGUUAUUUUCAAUCAUUUCUCUAUUUUCACACGCCACUUUACUAUAACCAUCACAUCCAUUGUAAUAUUUUUCUAUUUUUACACACCACUUCACCUCAUCCAAUUCGAUACUAAUAAAAACAGGAAACUAAAUAAUUUAACAAAUUAAAUAAGAAAAAAAUUAAAGGCCAAAAAAAAGGUUAUUAUAAAGUUUUUUAAUUAAAUUGAAAUAAUUAAAGUUAAAAAUAAAUAUUUUUUAAUUAAAACUGAAAAAAUUACGUUUUAUCAUAAAACGAAAAGAAUUAAAAAGAAUUUUAAAUCGAACAAAAAUUUAUUUAUAAUAUGAAUUGUUCAAAAAAAUAGAAUAAAAAUAAAAUUAAAUAAAGUUAUGAAAAUUAAAUAAAGAAUAUAUAAAUAUUAUUUAAUUAAAUUUAAAAAAAUUAUGUUUUAUCAUAAAGAGAAAAUAAUUAAAAAAAAUUUAAUCGAAAAAAGAUAUAUAUUUAUAAAAAAUAAAAAAAAGGAAACAUGGAGAUUUUCUCUCCAUCACACAGAGCUGUGUGAUGGAGAUUCUUUUGAAAAUUAAAAAUUUUGAUAAAACUUAAAUUUUUUCAAUUUUAAUUAAAUAGUAUUUAUAUAUUAUUUAUUUAUUUUUUGUAACUUUCUUUUGUUUAUUUUUUUCAUUAUAUAUUUUUUGAAAAUUGUUUUAAAAUUUCUUUUUUCUCCAUAUUAUGAAAAAAAAUUUGUUCGAUUUAAAAUUAUUUUCCUUUUAUGAUAAUAUGUAUUUUUUUCAAUUUUAAUUAAAUAAAUUUUAAUUUUAAUUUUACUUAUUUCAAUUUAAUUAAACAACUUUAUAAUAACUUUUUUUUUGUUUUUCUUAUUUUUUCCUGCAAUUUUUUUUUUAGAUUGACAGCCGUUGUAAAACUUUUGAAAAAUUUUAUGAUAUGAAUUCGAUGAACUAAAGAUUCGUGUAGGGAUAACAAAGAACAGCCGCAUACCUACAUAACAAGAAUGGAAACUUACCGAAUCUAGUAAAAUGUUUGAAGUCUUAAAAUCCCGAUAUAUAAUAGGCCUUUCCACAUCAUGAAGAAAAGCAAGCCCUCUUGCAGCAUCCAGAGCAAUCUCCAUUCUUCUAUGCCAUGUUAAAGUGGCACGCACUCCUACAAGUGCAGUAAAAAUAAAAUAGUUAUAAAGAUGUAGAUCCAAUGGGAUCACAUAAACUAGUGUAACGUUCAAAAUUGGAUUCUAUAGAAGUAUAGGGUAUCAAGCAUAAAUGAUCAAUUUAACUUGUAAAAAUUCUCAAUAAGAUAGAACCGCCUGUAUAAUGACAAAGCUCCACUCAGAUGGUUAUUUAUUAUAUCAGUCUUUCAUGGAAGAGAAGCAUAUAAAAAGCUUUCAAAAUUCUCACAGAAUCUUGAAUGAAGUUUUCAUUCUAAACAUGAAUGGCAAUCUAAACUUAAACUAUCCAUUAAAAAUAAUAAUUCAAGAAAUUAGGAAUAUGUUAAAUAAAAGGAUUCUGGAGUAAUUUCAAGCCGUAAUAAUUCUCUAUUGCAUGAAAAACUUUGUACUCACUCGAAAAGAGGUGUUUCUCCAAGCUCCCAGAUGCCAUAUAUUCGUAGACCAACAGCCUAUGAUCACCUUCACAGCAAUACCCAAUCAGUUUCACCAGAUUUGGGUUGCAAAACUGCCCCAAGUAAUUAACUUCUGCCUGCAAGUAAAAAUUCAAUGAUUAGCAACUGACUUUUCUUUAAGAGAAAAUGCAUGCCGAGAUAUUUAGGGCUGGUAACAAAUGAAUUACUAGGAAUGGCCAAUGUUAUGCAAACCUUUUAGGAAAUGGGAACUUUUGUUCAGUUUACUUAUUAUCAGACUAUCUACAGAUCUUCAAAGAGAAGAAAAAUAGAAUAGAAAAGACUCUUCAUCAAACUUGGCAAAUAAUAUCCUCAGAUUUGACAAAAUACACCAUUUCGUGAAUAUUGGAUCUUUUCAUGCCUUCUGCACAUCUUCAUGCAUAUCCCUGAAGAAUCUUGUAGGAAUGUUAUUGGACAAAUAAGAGGAGAAGCAAGAGAAGAGACCUAAAUUCUUUGUUAGGAAAUAAGGAACAAAGAGGAAAAAGAAGAAAGGGAGAUUGAGAUAACCCAACUUGUCUCACAUUGACACACACCCUCGACUUCCCAUUUUUUAGGCCAAAAAGUAGAUAGGGAGAUCUCGAAACUAUUGGAGAAGGGAAAUUAUUAGACAACUCGUCCCUCUAUGAAGGAGAUGAAAGAAGGAUCGAAUAAUACAGAGAGUCAGAGACCAAAUCAUAUCAAAAGUAAAUAGUAAGACCAUUCUCUUCCUCCUUCCCCUCACCCUUCUUAGUUCUACCUAACAACCUAAGAGAAGCGAGGUAUCUUUUUCCAAAUUAAGGUACCUUUUGUACACACAUGCAAUUGUCUCGGCUAUGUAAAAUCUCAUGGCUUAAAUAGUUGUAGGACGAUGGGUGCUUUUAUAAGUUCACAGAUAUACCUCUUCAUUUCAGCUGACAGACAACUCUGUCUUGGUCAUUAACAGGUUGUAGUGAAUGAAAAAGAUUGAAUUUAUAAUAUCAGAUAUAAAGCAUAACAAAAUACCAUAAUAUUCAGUAGAAUGUUCAAUUUAGAUAGGAGGUCCAAACAAAUUACCAGCCAUUCUCGAUCCCCUUGUAGACCUUCAGGAUCAAGCACUUUAAUGGCAACUUGAGUUGUCAUGUAAUAAGGCCUUACAUUCUCAUCUAUAACUCCUUUAUAAACAAUACCAAACCCACCGUCACCAAGAACCUGAUUAGGUCGGAAGUUCUUGGUAGCUGAUUUCAUCUCCUCAUAGGUAAAGAUAUCAAGAUCACUAUUACCAGAAUUUUGGCGUAGAUCCUGCACAUUUUUGGAAAAUAUUACAACAGGGUUUGCAUUCUUUUGUUUCUCUGGAGUAUCUAGCUCAUUCAAAAGGACAGAGUCUGCUUUGGUGGGAGAUACAGG
rnacentral:lncRNA from 1 species